UGGAUGUCUGAUCCAGCUGCUGUGAUGGACUCCUGUGCCUGAAAGCAUUAUUUCCAAGUCAAUUAUACAGGCUUUUCUGUGGCUGCUUAGUUAGGUUACAGCUUUGUUCUAAUGAAGUCAAGGUCUCAGGCUCCAGCUCCAUCCAUGAGGAGUCUGCCCUGCAGCCUGGAUUACGCUUUUCAAAUAUGGAAGGAAAAUAAACUACUUAGAUAUGAAGAAAAUCUCAGUGUGUUGGAUGUGGGGAGGUCUCAGGUUUCACCUGUCUUCUUUCUUUCGUGGUUCAAGGUCCUGUUUGAGUGACAGGUACUCAGCAAACGCAUUCUUGAAGGCGUCUGGGCAACACGAUUUUGGGAAUGAAUUUGAGUACUGAGGACACCAACAGGGCAUGCUACAAGGUGGCUGUGUUGUCUAGUUGGUGUACUUAGGCUAAAUGCCUCCAACUGAGUGGCAAGAAGAGUCUGGUGUUUCCUAAAAAUUAGGAGGGGAAUCUCAACAUCAAGACCCAGAAGAGGUAACAAGACCUCAGAAGACAAUGGCUACUUAUCUACGCGGGAAGGAUGAAGAGCUAUCAGCUAUUGUCUGCUUCUGACCAUGAUGAUAAUGGACUAAGUCUCUGAAACUUGGGUAAAGAGAGGGUGAGUCCCAAAGCAGGAAAGGCUAAGAGAAGAUGUGCACUGCUCAGCCGAGAACCAUCUGAAAACAGCACGGCACGUUUGAAGCAUGUGUCUGGGUUUCUCUGCUCCCCAAAUGCCUCACCUCUGUUGACUUCCAGGUAGAAUUCCUGCUACUGAAUAAUAACAAAGAAUAAGCUUGCAUAUUAUAAAGUGCAAGAGUGGGCUUCCAGGAAGCAUCAGAAUGCACAGGCUGCCUUUAUCUUUUCUCGUUAUCUUUUUUGAUAAUAAAGAAGUGGAGAAAAACA